rnacentral:rRNA from 1 species
CCUACGGGAGGCAGCAGUGAGGAAUAUUGGUCAAUGGCCGCAGGGCUGAACCAGCCAAGUCGCGUGAGGGAUGACGGUCCUAUGGAUUGUAAACCUCUUUUGUCAGGGAGCAAAGGGCGCCACGUGUGGCGCUUUGCGAGUACCUGAAGAAAAAGCAUCGGCUAACUCCGUGCCAGCAGCCGCGGUAAUACGGGGGAUGCGAGUGUUAUCCGGAUUUGUUGGGUUAAAAGGGUGCGCAGGCGGAAUGUCAAGUCAGCGGUAAAAUGUCGGGGCUAAACCCCGUCGUGCAGUUGAAACUGGCGUUCUUGAGUGAGCGAGAAGUAUGCAGAAUGCGUGGUGUAGCGGUGAAAUGCGUAGAGAUCACGCAGAACUCCGAUGGCGAAGGCAGCAUACCGGAGCUAAACUGACGCUCAGGCACGAAAGCGUGGGUAUCGAACAGGAUUAGAUACCCGGGUAGUC